rnacentral:rRNA from 1 species
UACGUAGGAUGCUAGCGUUGUCCGGAUUUACUGGGCGUAAAGCGCGCGCAGGCGGCACUGUAAGUAAGGUGUGAAAUCUCCCUGCUCAACGGGGAGGGUGCACUUUAGACUGCAGAGCUAGAGGACGGUAGAGGGGGGUGGAAUUGCUGGUGUAGCGGUGAAAUGCGUAGAUAUCAGGAGGAACACCGGUGGUGUAAACGGCUUUCUGGACCAUAACUGACGCUGAGGCACGAAAGCGUGGGUAGCAAACAGG